GCGGUGGUGGUGUAGGGGUUAGCACGUGACCACUUAUUGAGGCUACAGUCCUCGAAGCGGCUGUCCUGGGUUCAAAUCCCAGACAUGGCG